UUUCGACCUGAGCUCAGGCAAGGCUACCCGCUGAACUUAAGCAUAUCAAUAAGCCGGAAGGAAAGGAAUCAUUGAAUUAUUAAAACCACAAUGUGAACCUUAUUGUUCCGUGCCUUUGCUGCCAGCAAGGCAAUCAGCUUUGCCUGAUUGUACUUGCAAGCUGGUGCGAGUUUUAUACUUGCCUCAGUGGCGCUCUGGCAAGGUUAUACACCGGGGGGAACCCUGUGAAAACAAACCCGAAAGUUUUGUUUGGGGUAAAAUUGGGGGAUUUUAACACAAGAAAACCCACAAAACGAAAAUUUGGGGUCUCCCACCAUAAAAAAAACCACGAAAUGCGGUAACUUUUUGGGGGAUUGGGGCAAAAUCCCGGGACCACAAAAAUUUUAAUAACAAAUAUGGGCCGACCCCCCGGCCAAAAAAAAGUUUCGUCCACCCCGCGGGGUUAAACCCCCCCCCCCCCUUUGGGGGAAGAGGGGGGGGGUUUUUUUUUUGGCCUUUAAAAAAAGGAGAAGGACGGGUUUCCCACCUCGGGGGUUACCUUCUAAAAAAAGAGAGGGGGGAA
rnacentral:rRNA from 1 species